rnacentral:rRNA from 1 species
GACGAAGGGAGCGAGCGUUGUUCGGUAUCACUGGGCUUAAAGGGCGCGUAGGCGGUCUGCUAUGUCGGUUGUGAAAUCCUCAGGCUUAACCUGAGAAUUGCUGCCGAAACUGGCAGACUUGAGGUGUUCUGGGGGUGCCUGGAACUCUUGGUGGAGCGGUGAAAUGCGUAGAUAUCAAGAGGAACGCCGGUGGUGAAGACGGGGCACUGGGAACAUUCUGACGCUGAGGCGCGAAAGCCAGGGGAGCGAACGGG